rnacentral:rRNA from 1 species
AAACGGAGGAAAAGAAACCAACAGGGAUUGCCCUAGUAACGGCGAGUGAAGCGGCAACAGCUCAAAUUUGAAAUCUGGCUUCGGCCCGAGUUGUAAUUUGUAGAGGAAGCUUUUGGUGAGGCACCUUCUGAGUCCCCUGGAACGGGGCGCCAUAGAGGGUGAGAGCCCCGUAUAGUCGGAUGCCGAUCCAAUGUAAAGCUCCUUCGACGAGUCGAGUAGUUUGGGAAUGCUGCUCAAAAUGGGAGGUAAAUUUCUUCUAAAGCUAAAUACCGGCCAGAGACCGAUAGCGCACAAGUAGAGUGAUCGAAAGAUGAAAAGCACUUUGAAAAGAGGGUUAAAUAGCACGUGAAAUUGUUGAAAGGGAAGCGUUUGUGACCAGACUUGCGCCGUUCCGAUCAUCCGGUGUUCUCACCGGUGCACUCGGGACGGCUCAGGCCAGCAUCGGUUUUGGCGGGGGGAUAAAGGUCCGGGGAACGUAGCUCCUCCGGGRGUGUUAUAGCCCCGGGCGUAAUGCCCUCGCCGGGACCGAGGUUCGCGCAUCUGCAAGGAUGCUGYGUAAGCCG